rnacentral:rRNA from 1 species
AGAGUUUGAUCCUGGCUCAGGAUGAACGCUAGCGGCAGGCUUAACACAUGCAAGUCGAGGGGUAACAGGAGUAGCAAUACUUGCUGACGACCGGCGCACGGGUGAGUAACGCGUAUGCAACCUACCUCUAACUGAGGAAUAGCCCGGAGAAAUCCGGAUUAAUACUUCAUAAUAUUUCGAACUCGCAUGUUUUCGAAAUUAAAGCUUUGGCGGUUAGAGAUGGGCAUGCGUGACAUUAGUUAGUUGGUGAGGUAACGGCUCACCAAGACUGCGAUGUCUAGGGGGUCUGAGAGGAUGGUCCCCCACACUGGUACUGAGACACGGACCAGACUCCUACGGGAGGCAGCAGUGAGGAAUAUUGGGCAAUGGACGCAAGUCUGACCCAGCCAUGCCGCGUGCAGGAUGACUGCCCUAUGGGUUGUAAACUGCUUUUAUUUGGGAAGAAACCCCUGCUCGUGAGCGGGGCUGACGGUACCAAAAGAAUAAGCAUCGGCUAACUCCGUGCCAGCAGCCGCGGUAAUACGGAGGAUGCAAGCGUUAUCCGGAUUUAUUGGGUUUAAAGGGUGCGCAGGCGGGAAAUUAAGUCAGUGGUGAAAUCCUGCAGCUUAACUGUAGAAUUGCCAUUGAAACUGAUUUUCUUGAGUACAGUUGAGGUGGGCGGAAUGUGUAAUGUAGCGGUGAAAUGCUUAGAUAUUACACAGAACACCGAUUGCGUAGGCAGCUCACUAAACUGUUACUGACGCUCAGGCACGAAAGCGUGGGGAGCGAACAGGAUUAGAUACCCUGGUAGUCCACGCCGUAAACUAUGAUCACCCGUUGUUGGCAAUAAACAGUCAGCGACUAAGCUAAAGCAAUAAGUGAUCCACCUGGGGAGUACGGUCGCAAGAUUGAAACUCAAAGGAAUUGACGGGGGCCCGCACAAGCGGAGGAACAUGUGGUUUAAUUCUAUGAUACGCGAGGAACCUCACCUGGGCUUAAAUGCAGAACGAUUUCCGCCGAAAGGCGGUUUCCUUCGUGCGUUUUGCAAGGUGCUGCAUGGUUGUCGUCAGCUCGUGCCGUGAGGUGUCGGGUUAAGUCCCAUAACGAGCGCAACCCCCAUCGUUUUUGCCAUCGGGUAAUGCCGGGGACUCUAACGAAACUGCCGGUGUAAACCGUGAGGAAGGUGGGGAUGACGUCAAAUCAGCACGGCCCUUAUGUCCAGGGCUACACACGUGUUACAAUGGCCAGUACAAAGGGCAGCUACCUGGUGACAGGAUGCUAAUCUCUAAAACUGGUCUCAGUUCGGAUCGAAGUCUGCAACUCGACUUCGUGAAGGUGGAUUCGCUAGUAAUCGCGCAUCAGCAAUGGCGUGGUGAAUACGUUCCCGGGCCUUGUACACACCGCCCGUCAAGCCAUGGAAGCUCG